GACGAACGCUGGCGGCGUGCUUAACACAUGCCAGUCGAACGGAAAGGCCCUGCUUUUGUGGGGUGCUCGAGUGGCGAACGGGUGAGUAACACGUGAGUAACCUGCCCUUGACUUUGGGAUAACUUCAGGAAACUGGGGCUAAUACCGGAUAGGAGCUCCUGCUGCAUGGCGGGGGUUGGAAAGUUUCGGCGGUUGGGGAUGGACUCGCGGCUUAUCAGCUUGUUGGUGGGGUAGUGGCUUACCAAGGCUUUGACGGGUAGCCGGCCUGAGAGGGUGACCGGCCACAUUGGGACUGAGAUACGGCCCAGACUCCUACGGGAGGCAGCAGUGGGGAAUAUUGCACAAUGGGCGGAAGCCUGAUGCAGCAACGCCGCGUGCGGGAUGACGGCCUUCGGGUUGUAAACCGCUUUCGCCUGUGACGAAGCGUGAGUGACGGUAAUGGGUAAAGAAGCACCGGCUAACUACGUG
rnacentral:rRNA from 1 species